rnacentral:rRNA from 1 species
AUACGUAGGGAGCGAGCGUUGUCCGGAAUUACUGGGUGUAAAGGGAGCGUAGGCGGGAUCGCAAGUCAGAUGUGAAAUACAUGGGCUUAACCCAUGGGCUGCAUUUGAAACCGUGGUUCUUGAGUGAAGUAGAGGUAAGCGGAAUUCCUGGUGUAGCGGUGAAAUGCGUAGAUAUCAGGAGGAACACCGGUGGCGAAGGCGGCUUACUGGGCUUUUACUGACGCUGAGGCUCGAAAGCGUGGGGAGCAAACAGGAUUAGAUACCCUGGUAGUCCACGCUGUAAACGAUGAUUACUAGGUGUGGGGGGACUGACCCCUUCCGUGCCGCAGUUAACACAAUAAGUAAUCCACCUGGGGAGUACGGCCGCAAGGUUGAAACUCAAAUGAAUUGACGGGG